rnacentral:rRNA from 1 species
AGGAGGAAGCUCCGGCUAACUACGUGCCAGCAGCCGCGGUAAUACGUAGGGAGCGAGCGUUGUCCGGAAUUACUGGGUGUAAAGGGAGCGUAGGCGGGCGAGAAAGUUGAAUGUUAAAUCUACCGGCUUAACUGGUAGCUGCGUUCAAAACUUCUUGUCUUGAGUGAAGUAGAGGCAGGCGGAAUUCCUAGUGUAGCGGUGAAAUGCGUAGAUAUUAGGAGGAACACCAGUGGCGAAGGCGGCCUGCUGGGCUUUAACUGACGCUGAGGCUCGAAAGCGUGGGGAGCAAACAGGAUUAGAUACCCUAGUAGUCC